CCUACGGGUGGCAGCAGUGAGGAAUAUUGGUCAAUGGACGCAAGUCUGAACCAGCCAUGCCGCGUGCAGGAAGACGGCUCUAUGAGUUGUAAACUGCUUUUUUACGAGGGUAAACGCAGAUACGCGGAUCUGUCUGAAAGUAUCGUACGAUUAAGGAUCGGCUAACUCCGUGCCAGCAGCCGCGGUAAUACGGAGGCUUCAAGCGUUAUCCGGAUUUAUUGGGUUUAAAGGGUGCGUAGGCGGUCGGAUUAGUUAGAGGUGAAAUCCCGAGGGUCAAACUCGGAAUUGCCUCGGAUACUGUUCGGCUAGAGAGUAGUUGCGGGAGGCGGAAUGUAUGGUGGAGCGGUGAAAUGCUUAGAGAUCA
rnacentral:rRNA from 1 species